GCAUGGUAAUGGCUUUCUGGUAGGCCUUUCUCCGUCAGCCUGUCAUAGUGUUCCCACACCAGAGUAAACUGCAGCCUCGAACCACUGCUCUGCCUCUUUACCACAGCACUGUGAACAAUGAUGGGGGUUGUACAAUU